CCUACGGGUUGCAGCAGUGGGGAAUUUUGGACAAUGGGGGCAACCCUGAUCCAGCCAUCCCGCGUGUGCGAUGAAGGCCUUCGGGUUGUAAAGCACUUUUGGCAGGAAAGAAAAGGGCCUGGUUAAUACCUGGGUCAAAUGACGGUACCUGCAGAAUAAGCACCGGCUAACUACGUGCCAGCAGCCGCGGUAAUACGUAGGGUGCAAGCGUUAAUCGGAAUUACUGGGCGUAAAGCGUGCGCAGGAGGUUCGGAAAGAAAGGUGUGAAAUCCCCGGGCUUAACCUGGGAACGGCACUUUUAACUACCGGGCUAGAGUGUGUCAGAGGGGGGUGGAAUUCCGCGUGUAGCAGUGAAAUGCGUAGAGAUGCGGAGGAACACCGAUGGCGAAGGCAGCCCCCUGGGACAACACUGAUGCUCAUGCACGAAAGCGUGGGGAGCAAACAGGUUUAGAUACCCUCGUAGUC
rnacentral:rRNA from 1 species